rnacentral:rRNA from 1 species
CCUACGGGUGGCAGCAGUGAGGAAUAUUGGUCAAUGGCCGGAAGGCUGAACCAGCCAUGCCGCGUGAAGGUCAGUGCCCUAUGGGCGUUAAACUUCUUUUGUGCGGGAGCAAUAAUGGUCACGUUUGGCCAGACGAGAGUACCGUACGAAUAAGCAUCCGCUAACUACGUGCCAGCAGCCGCGGGAAUACGGGGGAUGCAAGCGUUAUCCGGAAUUAUUGGGGUUAAAGGGUGCGUAGGCUGUGAGGUAAGGCAGCGGGGAAAUGCCCCCGGUCAACGGGGUGAAGUGCCAUUGAUACUGGCUGGCUGGAAUGCGGAUGCGGUGGGAGGAAUGUGUGGUGUAGCGGGGAAAUGCUUAGAUAUCACACAGAACACCGAUUGCGAAGGCAUCUCACUAAUCCGCGAUUGACGCUGAUGCACGAAAGCGUGGGUAUCAAACAGGAUUAGAUACCCUGGUAGUC